GACGAACGCUGGCGGCGUGCCUAAUACAUUCAAGUCGAGCGAAGUUUUUCUGGUGCUUGCACCGGAAAAACUUAGCGGCGAACGGGUGAGUAACACGUAAAGAACCUGCCUCAUAGACUGGGACAACUAUUGGAAACGAUAGCUAAUACCGGAUAAUAGCAUUAACUGCAUGGUUGAUGUUUAAAAGUUGGUUUUGCUAACACUAUGAGAUGGCUUUGCGGUGCAUUAGCUAGUUGGUGGGGUAAAGGCCUACCAAGGCGACGAUGCAUAGCCGACCUGAGAGGGUGAUCGGCCACACUGGGACUGAGACACGGCCCAGACUCCUACGGGAGGCAGCAGUAGGGAAUCUUCCGCAAUGGGCGAAAGCCUGACGGAGCAACGCCGCGUGAGUGAAGAAGGAUUUCGGUUCGUAAAGCUCUGUUGUUAGGGAAGAAUGAUUGUGUAGUAACUAUACACAGUAGAGACGGUACCUAACCAGAAAGCCACGGCUAACUACGUG
rnacentral:rRNA from 1 species